GUCAGGAUGGCCGAUCGUUCUAAGGCGCUGCGUUCAGGUCUUAGUCCACUUGUGUGGGCUUGGGUUUGAAUCCCACUUAUGACA